AACCUGGAUAAUGCGGCAUGUUUUGAAUUUUACCCAACCCUAAUUGCUCUGGUGUUUUCUUGGACUCCCACCAUUUAAUUCCCCUCUUUCUCCAAAUGGCUGGGCCUAACGACCUUCAAGCAAGUUUAAGUUAUUCAACCCCCAAAAAACCAACAGAGAAACCCAAACAAAGUGGUGAUAAGCCUAAGGCAGUGAAGAAGAACUAUACGUUCACCAUUCAAUCUGACCUUUCCUACUCAUCAGACCCUCCAACGAAAAAGAAAUGAAGAACAUCAUAAGGAAAUUUAAGCUCAGUGGUCCUUCAUUGGGCUCAUGUUCCUAUAUAUUUCAAGUUCUUCACGGCGGUGCAUCAUACUAUCUUUCAGAUUUGGUUUGCCUUUUUGUUUUUUUGUUCAAGACUUUCAUAUUAUAUAUGGUGUGUUUGAUUGUACGUUCUUGAGUGGGAUUUCAGUUAUGUGGGACCAAGACUUGAUUUGAUAUUUCAGAAACUUUAUAUUUCGAUGUUU